rnacentral:rRNA from 1 species
CGUCGUUGACCAUCUCGGGGCUGACCUAGUCAGUUUCAAUAGGAGUCUGCUUCUAACCGUCUCUUGACUGAGACUAGCGACUUGUGCGCUAACUUUUGACUUGACCUCAAAUCAGGUAGGACUACCCGCUGAACUUAAGCAUAUCAAUAAGCGGAGGAAAAGAAACUAACAAGGAUUCCCCUAGUAACUGCGAGUGAAGCGGGAAAAGCUCAAAUUUAAAAUCUGGCGGUCUCCGGCCGUCCGAGUUGUAAUUUAGAGAAGCGUUAUCCGUGCUGGACCGUGUAUAAGUCUCCUGGAAUGGAGCGUCAUAGAGGGUGAGAAUCCCGUCUUUGACACGGACUACCAGUGCAUUGUGAUGCGCUCUCGACGAGUCGAGUUGUUUGGGAAUGCAGCUCAAAAUGGGUGGUAAAUGCCAUCUAAAGCUAAAUAUUGGCGAGAGACCGAUAGCGAACAAGUACCGUGAGGGAAAGAUGAAAAGAACUUUGGAAAGAGAGUUAAACAGUACGUGAAAUUGUCGAAAGGGAAACGGUUGCAGUCAGUCGCGUCCGCCGGGGAUCAACCUUGCUUUUGCUUGGCGUAUUUCCCGGUGGAUGGGUCAGCAUCAGUUUUGACCGCAGUUGAAAGGCUGGAGGAAUGUGGCACCUUCGGGUGUGUUAUAGCCUCCUGUCAUAUGCUGCGGUUGGGACUGAGGAACUCAGCACGCCGCAAGGCCGGGAUUCGUCCACGUUCGUGCUUAGGAUGCUGGCAUAAUGUCUGUAACCGACCCGUCUUGAAACACGGACCAAGGAGUCUAACAUGCACGCGAGUGUUUGGGUGGCAAACCCGAGCGCGUAAUGAA